rnacentral:rRNA from 1 species
ACGAACGCUGGCGGCGUGCUUAACACAUGCAAGUCGCACGCUGAAGCUCAGCUUUUGCUGGGUGGAUGAGUGGCGAACGGGUGAGUAACACGUGAGUAACCUGCCCCCUUCUUUGGGGUAACGCCCGGAAACGGGUGCUAAUACUGGAUAUUCACUGGUCUUCGCAUGGGGGUUGGUGGAAAGGGUUUUUCUGGUGGGGGAUGGGCUCGCGGCCUAUCAGCUUGUUGGUGGGGUGAUGGCCUACCAAGGCUUUGACGGGUAGCCGGCCUGAGAGGGUGACCGGUCACAUUGGGACUGAGAUACGGCCCAGACUCCUACGGGAGGCAGCAGUGGGGAAUAUUGCACAAUGGGCGCAAGCCUGAUGCAGCGACGCCGCGUGAGGGAUGGAGGCCUUCGGGUUGUGAACCUCUUUCGCUCAUGGUCAAGCCGCAACAAUGGUUGUGGUGAGGGUAGUGGGUAAAGAAGCGCCGGCUAACUACGUG